rnacentral:rRNA from 1 species
AAAACCAAUGCCCUUCGGGGCUCACUGGUGAUUCAUAAUAACUUCUCGAAUCGCACGGCCUUGCGCCGGCGAUGGUUCAUUCAAAUUUCUGCCCUAUCAACUUUCGACGGCUGGGUCUUGGCCAGCCGUGGUGACAACGGGUAACGGAGGGUUAGGGCUCGACCCCGGAGAAGGAGCCUGAGAAACGGCUACUACAUCCAAGGAAGGCAGCAGGCGCGCAAAUUACCCAAUCCCGACACGGGGAGGUAGUGACAAUAAAUACUGAUACAGGGCUCUUUUGGGUCUUGUAAUUGGAAUGAGUACAAUUUAAAUCCCUUAACGAGGAACAAUUGGAGGGCAAGUCUGGUGCCAGCAGCCGCGGUAAUUCCAGCUCCAAUAGCGUAUAUUAAGUUGUUGAGGUUAAAAAGCUCGUAGUUGAACCUUGGGCCUAGCCGACCGGUCCGCCUCACCGCGUGCACUGGUUCGGUUGGGUCUUUCCUUCUGGAGAACCUCAUGCCCUUUACUGGGUGUGUUGGGGAACCAGGACUUUUAC